GAUGAACGCUGGCGGCGUGCCUAAUACAUGCAAGUCGAGCGAACAGACGAGGAGCUUGCUCCUCUGACGUUAGCGGCGGACGGGUGAGUAACACGUGGAUAACCUACCUAUAAGACUGGGAUAACUUCGGGAAACCGGAUCUAAUACCGGAUAAUAUAUUGAACCGCAUGGUUCAUUAGUGAAAUCCGGUUUUGCUGUCACUUAUAGAUUGAUCCGGGCCGCAUUAGCUAGUUGGUAAGGUAACGGCUUACCAAGGCAACGAUGCGUAUCCGACCUGAGAGGGUGAUCGGCCACACGGGAACUGAGACACGGACCAGACUCCUACGGGAGGCAGCAGUAGGGAAUCUUCCGCAAUGGGCGAAAGCCUGACGGAGCAACGCCGCGUGAGUGAUGAAGGUCUUCGGAUCGUAAAACUCUGUUAGUAGGGAAGAAAAAAUGUGUAAGUAACUAUGCACGUCUUGACGGUAACUAAUCAGAAAGCAACGGCUAACUACGUG
rnacentral:rRNA from 1 species